AGGACGAACGCUGGCGGCGUGCUUAACACAUGCAAGUCGAGCGGAAAGGCCCUUCGGGGUACUCGAGCGGCGAACGGGUGAGUAACACGUGAGCAACCUGCCCUUAGCUUCGGGAUAGCUCCGGGAAACCGGAAUUAAUACCGAAUAUGACUUUGGCUGACAUCAGCAGAAGUGGAAAGUUUUUCGGCUAGGGAUGGACUCGCGGCCUAUCAGCUAGUUGGUGAGGUAACGGCCCACCAAGGCGACGACGGGUAGCCGGCCUGAGAGGGCGACCGGGCCACACCUGGGACUGAGACACGGCCCAGACUCCUACGGGAGGCAGCAGUGGGGAAUAUUGCGCAAUGGGCGAAAGCCUGACGCAGCAACGCCGCGUGGGGGAUGAAUGCCUUCGGUUGUAACCCCUUCAGCAGGACGAAGCGAAAGUGACGGUACCUGCAGAAGAGCGCCGGCUAACUACGUGCCAGCAGCCGC
rnacentral:rRNA from 1 species